UACGAACCGUCCAAACGUUAUUCGGAUUCAUUGGGCUUAAAGGGUACGUAGGCGGCGCUAUCAGUCGGGUGUGAAAGCCCUCGGCUCAACCGAGGAACUGCGCCCGAUACUGUAGUGCUUGAGGGAGACAGAGGUAAGCGGAACUGAUGGUGGAGCGGUGAAAUGCGUUGAUAUCAUCAGGAACACCGGUGGCGAAAGCGGCUUACUGGGUCUCUUCUGACGCUGAGGUACGAAAGCUAGGGGAGCGAACGGG
rnacentral:rRNA from 1 species